rfam:Triticum aestivum genome assembly, contig: Triticum_aestivum_CS42_TGACv1_scaffold_132035_2BL
UUAGUACUCCCUCCGUCCGGAAAUACUUGUCGCGGAGAUGGAUGUAUCUAGACGUAUUUAAGUUCUAGAUACAUCUAUUUUUAUCCAUUUCUCUGACAUGUAUUUCCGGUCUGAGGGAGUACGAA